AGUGAACGCUGGCGGUAGGCCUAACACAUGCAAGUCGAACGGCAGCACAGUAAGAGCUUGCUCUUACGGGUGGCGAGUGGCGGACGGGCGAGGAAUACAUCGGAAUCUACUUUUUCGUGGGGGAUAACGUAGGGAAACUUACGCUAAUACCGCAUACGACCUACGGGUGAAAGCAGGGGAUCUUCGGACCUUGCGCGAUUGAAUGAGCCGAUGUCGGAUUAGCUAGUUGGCGGGGUAAAGGCCCACCAAGGCGACGAUCCGUAGCUGGUCUGAGAGGAUGGUAAGGCAACAUGGAAAGGGGACAAGGUCCAGACGAGUGAGGGAGGCACCAGGGGGGGAUAUUGGACAAUGGGCGCAAGCCUGAUCCAGCCGUACCGCGUGGGUGAAGAAGGCCUUCGGGUUGUAAAGCCCUUUUGUUGGGAAAGAAAAGCAGCAGGUUGAUACCCCGCUGUUCUGACGGUACCCAAAGAAUAAGCAACGGCUAACUUCGUG
rnacentral:rRNA from 1 species